CCCUUAGAUGUUCUGGGCCGCACGCGCGCUACACUGUUCGACGCAGCGAGUCUUAACCUUGACCGAAAGGUUUGGGUAAUCUUGUGAAACUCUGUCGUGCUGGGGAUAGAGCAUUGCAAUUAUUGCUCUUCAACGAGGAAUUCCUAGUAAGCGUAAGUCAUCAGCUUGCGUUGAUUACGUCCCUGCCCUUUGUACACACCGCCCGUCGCUACUACCGAUUGAAUGGCUUAGUGAGGCCUCCGGAUUGGCUUUGGGGAGCCGGCAACGGCACCUCAUGGCUGAGAAGUUGGUCAAACUUGGUCAUUUAGAGGAAGUAAAAGUCGUAACA
rnacentral:rRNA from 1 species